AUGGUGCCACCAUCGCUCCAGAUCGCUGCCACCCACUCCAGCUCCUGCCCGGGUCUCUGGCGCGCCCACAACAUGGCGGCCGUGACCCUGCUAGAGUGCGGGGGGGACCUCCAGCCCCCCGGGGGAUCCCUGACGUUGCUGUGCCGAGGGGCCGGGUUCGAUUUUAGCAAUUUUGGGAUGGCCUGGAUCCGCCAGAGACCUGGGCAGGGGCUGGAGUGGGUCGGAACCAUCACCAGCAGUGGUGGCAGCGCCUGGUACGCGGAUUCCGUCAAGGGCCGGUUCAGGAUCUCCAGGGACAACGGGCAGAGCUCGGUGAUGCUGACCAUGAACAACCUCAAGGACGAGGAUUCCGGAUCCUAUUUCUGCGCCAAG